rnacentral:rRNA from 1 species
GAGUUUGAUCGUGGCUCAGAUUGAACGCUGGCGGCAGGCCUAACACAUGCAAGUCGAGCGGUAGAGAGAAGCUUGCUUCUCUUGAGAGCGGCGGACGGGUGAGUAAUGCCUAGGAAUCUGCCUGGUAGUGGGGGAUAACGCUCGGAAACGGACGCUAAUACCGCAUACGUCCUACGGGAGAAAGCAGGGGACCUUCGGGCCUUGCGCUAUCAGAUGAGCCUAGGUCGGAUUAGCUAGUUGGUGAGGUAAUGGCUCACCAAGGCGACGAUCCGUAACUGGUCUGAGAGGAUGAUCAGUCACACUGGAACUGAGACACGGUCCAGACUCCUACGGGAGGCAGCAGUGGGGAAUAUUGGACAAUGGGCGAAAGCCUGAUCCAGCCAUGCCGCGUGUGUGGAGAAGGUCUUCGGAUUGUAAAGCACUUUAAGUUGGGAGGAAGGGCAGUAAAUUAAUACUUUGCUGUUUGACGUUACGACAGAAUAAGCACCGGCUAACUCUGUGCCAGCCG